rnacentral:rRNA from 1 species
UGGGGAAUAUUGGACAAUGGGGGGAACCCUGAUCCAGCCAUGCCGCGUGUGUGAAGAAGGCCUUAUGGUUGUAAAGCACUUUAAGCGAGGAGGAGGGUACUGGUAUUAAUACUACCAGGUACUGGACGUUACUCGCAGAAUAAGCACCGGCUAACUCUGUGCCAGCAGCCGCGGUAAUACAGAGGGUGCGAGCGUUAAUCGGAUUUACUGGGCGUAAAGCGUGCGUAGGCGGCUAAUUGAGUCGGAUGUGAAAUCCCCGAGCUUAACUUGGGAAUUGCAUUCGAUACUGGUCAGCUAGAGUAUGGGAGAGGAUGGUAGAAUUCCAGGUGUAGCGGUGAAAUGCGUAGAGAUCUGGAGGAAUACCGAUGGCGAAGGCAGCCAUCUGGCCUAACACUGACGCUGAGGUACGAAAGCAUGGGGAGCAAACAGG